rnacentral:lncRNA from 1 species
GUCCCGCAGCCCCGGCGUCCGUCGAGAUGUGGUUAGCCUCAAUUCCUGAUUCUCACCAAGGUGUGUAAUGUCAUCCACGGCCCAGUGCAGAGGAACACGUGCUGCCGUCAGACUGCCAGGGUCCGAUCCCGCCUCCUCACUCACCCCGGGAGAUCCCUUUAAGCCAGGAGUCAACAGUGAGGAUGGAAACAUGAGUGCUUUUUAAAGUCCUGAAAGUUCAGAGGCAGACUGUCAAUUUCUCCUGCACCCCUGGGCACACACCAGGAGAACUUUGUCUCCAGGAUCAAGUAAGUGCCUGUGAGAGAGUUGUGUCCCUCAGAUUCUGUUCACCACAGGUGACACUCGAUGCAACCCCAAACCUCUUCUGCACAAUCCCAAGGGGUGCUGACUAAUCCAACCCAAAGGCUGUGAUGUUUGGCAGAGGCAGAAAAGAAAAGGCCAGGUGUUCCGGGAAAGAUCACCUUCAAAUAACACAGCACUCUCAUAGCCCAGAGAGACAGUUCUUACUAUUAUGCCAAUAAACCUGGAAAAGACCAAAUCCAAUUUGACACAUAUUUCCUUUUUCGUUUUGAUUUCAUGCCCCCUCCCUCAACCUCCCAAGCAGCAUGGAUACCCCGAAGGCCCCUGGGAACUCUCUCCCAUUGGCUCUUACGUGGAAAGUAGUUACCUACCUGCAAAAUCCUCGUCAUCAGACAUGCUCUCCACAAUCAAAUCUUUAGAAACACAAACAUCAGGAUAAGUCAUUAGAGAGAGGCCCAUCCACCCCUCCCACCCCAGCUGAAGCCUGGGUGCUUCACACAGGAUCCCCUGAUGUUUCCUCUGCUUCACAGACAUCCCUACAGCCUCUCUGGACAUUGUUUUAUACUUGCAAAAUCAUUUGCUCUCACCAGACCCCAAAUCCUCCUUCCCAAAAGGAGCCCAGAAUCAGGUUUCUGUACCCUA